UGAAGCAACAAAUGCCCUGCUUCCAGGAAAAGCCUCUAAGCAUCAGGUAACACGAAAUCGUACCCCAAACCGACACAGGUGGUCAGGUAGAGAAUACCAAGGCGCUUGAGAGAACUCGGGUGAAGGAACUAGGCAAAAUGGUGCCGUAACUUCGGGAGAAGGCACGCUGACACGUAGGUGAAGUGAUUUACUCAUGGAGCUGAAGUCAGUCGAAGAUACCAGCUGGCUGCAACUGUUUAUUAAAAACACAGCACUGUGCAAACACGAAAGUGGACGUAUACGGUGUGACGCCUGCCCGGUGCCGGAAGGUUAAUUGAUGGGGUCAGCGUAAGCGAAGCUCCUGAUCGAAGCCCCGGUAAACGGCGGCCGUAACUAUAACGGUCCUAAGGUAGCGAAAUUCCUUGUCGGGUAAGUUCCGACCUGCACGAAUGGCGUAAUGAUGGCCAGGCUGUCUCCACCCGAGACUCAGUGAAAUUGAACUCGCUGUGAAGAUGCAGUGUACCCGCGGCAAGACGGAAAGACCCCGUGAACCUUUACUAUAGCUUGACACUGAACAUUGAGCCUUGAUGUGUAGGAUAGGUGGGAGGCUUUGAAGUGUGGACGCCAGUCUGCAUGGAGCCGACCUUGAAAUACCACCCUUUAAUGUUUGAUGUUCUAACGUGGACCCGUAAUCCGGGUUGCGGACAGUGUCUGGUGGGUAGUUUGACUGGGGCGGUCUCCUCCUAAAGAGUAACGGAGGAGCACGAAGGUUGGCUAAUCCUGGUCGGACAUCAGGAGGUUAGUGCAAUGGCAUAAGCCAGCUUGACUGCGAGCGUGACGGCGCGAGCAGGUGCGAAAGCAGGUCAUAGUGAUCCGGUGGUUCUGAAUGGAAGGGCCAUCGCUCAACGGAUAAAAGGUACUCCGGGGAUAACAGGCUGAUACCGCCCAAGAGUUCAUAUCGACGGCGGUGUUUGGCACCUCGAUGUCGGCUCAUCACAUCCUGGGGCUGAAGUAGGUCCCAAGGGUAUGGCUGUUCGCCAUUUAAAGUGGUACGCGAGCUGGGUUUAGAACGUCGUGAGACAGUUCGGUCCCUAUCUGCCGUGGGCGCUGGAGAACUGAGGGGGGCUGCUCCUAGUACGAGAGGACCGGAGUGGACGCAUCACUGGUGUUCGGGUUGUCAUGCCAAUGGCACUGCCCGGUAGCUAAAUGCGGAAGAGAUAAGUGCUGAAAGCAUCUAAGCACGAAACUUGCCCCGAGAUGAGUUCUCCCUGAGACUUAGAGUCUCCUGAAGGAACGUUGAAGACGACGACGUUGAUAGGCCGGGUGUGUAAGCGCAGCGAUGCGUUGAGCUAACCGGUACUAAUGAACCGUGAGGCUUAACCUUACAACGCCGAAG
rnacentral:rRNA from 1 species